rnacentral:rRNA from 1 species
UACGUAGGGGGCAAGCGUUGUCCGGAAUUAUUGGGCGUAAAGAGCGCGUAGGCGGUCCGAUAAGUCGGCUGUGAAAGUCCAGGGCUCAACCCUGGAAAGCCGGCCGAUACUGUCGGACUAGAGUCCGGAAGAGGCAAGUGGAAUUCCCGGUGUAGCGGUGAAAUGCGCAGAUAUCAGGAAGAACACCCGUGGCGAAGGCGGUUCUCUGGGACGGUACUGACGCUGAGACGCGAAAGCGUGGGGAGCGAACAGG